GGGGUUAUGGUGUAGUGGUUAUCACGAAUCGUUUGCAACGAUUAGGUCGUGGGUUCGAGCCCCACUAACUCCU